rnacentral:rRNA from 1 species
AUUGAACGCUGGCGGCAGGCUUAACACAUGCAAGUCGAGCGAGCGGCGGACGGGUGAGUAAUGUCUGGGAAACUCCCUCAUGGAGGGGGUUAACUACUGGAACCGGUAGCAAAUACCGCAUACCAUCAGAUGUGCCCAGAUGGGACUAGCUAGUAGGUGGGGUAAUGGCUCACCUGGGCGACGAUCCCUAGUUGGGCUGAGAGGAUGACCAGCCGCACUGGAACUGAGACAAGUGCCAGACUCCUACGGGAGGCAGCAGUGGGGAAGAUUGCACAAUGGGCGCAAGGCUGAUGCAGCCGUGCCGGGGGUGUGAAGAAGGGCUUCGGGUUGUAAAGCACGUUCAGCGAGGAGGCGUUACUCGCAGAAGAAGCACCGGCUAACUCCGUGCCAGCAGCCGCGGUAAUAC